GACGAACGCUGGCGGCGUGCUUAACACAUGCAAGUCGAACGAAGUGGCGAACGGGUGAGUAACGCGUAAUCAACCUGCCCUUCAGAGGGGGACAACAGUUGGAAACGACUGCUAAUCCCGCAUACUGAAGGAGUGGAUGGCGGCUGAUUAGCUAGUUGGAGGGGUAACGGCCCACCAAGGCGAGGAGCAGUAGCCGGGCUGGGAGGAUGGACGGCCACAUUGGGCCUGAGACACGGCCCAGACUCCUCCGGGAGGCAGCAGUGGGGAAUCUGCCGCAAUGGAGGAAAGUCUGACGGAGCAACGCCGCGUGAGUGAUGACGGCCUUCGGGUUGUAAAGCUCUGUUAAUCGGGACGCGGUACCGGAAUAGAAAGCCACGGCUAACUACGUGCCAGCAGCCGCGGUAAUUC
rnacentral:rRNA from 1 species